UACGUAGGCAGCAAGCGUUGUUCGGAGUUACUGGGCGUAAAGAGUGGUGUAGGCGGUUCUCUAAGUUCCGUGUGAAAUCUCCCGGCUUAACUGGGAGGGUGCGCGGAAGACUGGCGGGCUUGAGUGUGGCAGAGGGGGGUGGGAAUUCCGCGUGGUAGCAGUGAAAUGCGUAGAGAUGCGGAGGAACACCGGAUGGCGAAGGCAGCCCCCUGGGCUAACACGU
rnacentral:rRNA from 1 species